UGUUGGCGGUGAUCCUCAGCUCUUCAUCAACAAGCAAACAUGUCAAUGAAGAAACAAGUGCAUGACCAAGUGAUGUUAACAAGGCGACUGCAUGAGGAAACAAGAGUUUUGGUGUUGGUGUUGGCACAACACUGUACAUGGUUGCAGAGCCUGGCAAUGGUUCUCAAGAACAAGUUGGCUGAGGAGGACGUAGACAAGGGAAAUGAGGGACUUUGCUGUCUCUUAAGAAGAAGACUGGCAGAGGUGUCAGAAAGGUUCCAAGUUGUCCUCCAACAGUACAAGACUGCUUUAGGUCCUGAGGCUUCUGUCCUUCUACAUGUUGAAGAGGAAUGUCAAAGUGGCCUCAGUAGUCCAGACACCAGUGAGGAUGAAGAGGAAAACACAAUUUAGAUGGAAGCUGCACGAAGGACUGCGUUGAAGGAAAUGGACUUGCCCUACAGACCUUAUGCACCAGAGAAACGAGGGCGCCGCCAUCUUUAGAAUAUUGUCU